AGCGAACGCUGGCGGCAGGCUUAACACAUGCAAGUCGAGCGGGCACUUUCGGGUGUCAGCGGCGGACGGGUGAGUAACGCGUGGGAACGUGCCCUCUGGUUCGGAAUAACUCAGGGAAACUUGAGCUAAUACCGGAUACGCCCUUUUGGGGAAAGGCUUGCUGCCGGAGGAUCGGCCCGCGUCUGAUUAGCUAGUUGGUGAGGUAACGGCUCACCAAGGCGACGAUCAGUAGCUGGUCUGCGAGGAUGAUCAGCCACACUGGGACUGAGACACGGCCCAGACUCCUACGGGAGGCAGCAGUGGGGAAUAUUGGACAAUGGGCGCAAGCCUGAUCCAGCCAUGCCGCGUGAGUGAUGAAGGCCUUAGGGUUGUAAAGCUCUUUUAUCCGGGACGAUAAUGACGGUACCGGAGGAAUAAGCCCCGGCUAACUUCGUG
rnacentral:rRNA from 1 species